GGGGGAGUAACAACUUCUGGUCAUACGGCAGCAUUUCCCCCUUGCGAUAGUAUUAACUUCUAGUUAAUACUUGUGCUGCAGCUCUGUCGUAGCUGAUCCUGCCAAUGUCGUAGCAUGCGAAAACGCCAUGUGAAAAUGUCUGAGACGGUGUUCAUUUGACGCACUAUUUGUUUUCUGCAAUCCCUCAGAUGUGAUAAGUAAAUAAAUGUGGUAUAAACUUCAGCAACGAGAUGUAUUUCAAAACAUCCUAUUGUGAUAGGAAACGAUUAGCCCGAGUGUUGAAAAAUUGAUUUUCGUGUCUUUGCCAGUUGCGCAGAAUUGACUGAUUGAAACACAAUGCAACUGAAAUAUUACACCAACGAAUUGAAA